AACAUGUCGGCUGGCACAUGAACAGACACAGUUCUGGCAGUGAUUCAAUUAAUAGUGAAAGUAAUAAAAAAGGACAAGAAUAACCCGAUGACAUCACACACGCCAUGAAAGACGACAUACGGAUAUAUGGUCACACGAAGUCCCCAAGGCACUGCUGUGUAAUAUCCAAAGCAUACCCAUACUCCUCAGAGGAUCCAUCUACCUUUGUGCACAAGAUAACAACAACAAGAGGUUGAGAGGUCAAGGUGGAUAUUUGGCACACAAAGACUAUGACAGUAGAAAUGGCGGCUCGUGUCCUGCGUCAGGAGUGUGGUUGAGUUACACUGUGAAAACACAUUUAAG